rnacentral:rRNA from 1 species
UGGGGAAUAUUGGACAAUGGGCGAAAGCCUGAUCCAGCCAUGCCGCGUGUGUGAAGAAGGUCUUCGGAUUGUAAAGCACUUUAAGUUGGGAGGAAGGGCAGUAAGUUAAUACCUUGCUGCUUUGACGUUACCGACAGAAUAAGCACCGGCUAACUCUGUGCCAGCAGCCGCGGUAAUACAGAAGGUGCAAGCGUUAAUCGGAAUUACUGGGCGUAAAGCGCGCGUAGGUGGUUUGUUAAGUUGGAUGUGAAAGCCCCGGGCUCAACCUGGGAACUGCAUCCAAAACUGGCAAGCUAGAGUACGGUAGAGGGUGGUGGAAUUUCCUGUGUAGCGGUGAAAUGCGUAGAUAUAGGAAGGAACACCAGUGGCGAAGGCGACCACCUGGACUGAUACUGACACUGAGGUGCGAAAGCGUGGGGAGCAAACA